rnacentral:lncRNA from 1 species
GGGAUGAUGUAGACUCGGUUUGCUUGACAAGGUCAUUGAGGAAAAAGUUCGGCUGUUCCUGCGACCUAGUCAAAGUUGAAGAAGUGAAGCCGGCAGUUAAAACUGUGGAAAAGCCAACUCCAGCUCCUUCAGCUCCUUCAGCUCCUUCAGCAAGCUGUGCUCAAAACUGUUGCACUCCCCAGUUUCGUCCAAUGUACUGUGAACUGGUUUGUGAAUAUCCAGAACCAACCACUUGCUCCAUAAUGUAAUUGCGUAAGACAUGAAUUAGUUGAACUUGAUUAUGAUCAUUUUCAUUUUCUCUUUUCCCUUGUAGAUGCAUGGAUCUAAAGUUCAUAAGAAAUAUUUUUAUAUCAAUUGCUUCUCUCUUUGAAAUUUUGUUUGUGUUUCUGCUUGUGCCUUUUUCAUGUGUUUCCUAACCCAUAUGGAAUUGCUCAGGUGCUACGAAACACUUCUGAUCAUAAGUGCUUUUAUCAGAAACACUUUUAUCACAAACAUAACAAGUUUGCAAUCCAAAGAGACCAUCAUUUAUAUGAGUUGCCUUUAAUUAUGUACUUGUACUGAUCCAUACUAAUUUUCGACCAAGAAAUGGGUGAAAGUAGGAUUAUAUAGCAGCAUGUGUGGAUGCAUGGUUAAUCAGGGUGUCAACACACUUAAACUAUCUCUAUUUCUUGAUUUCUCUGCAAAAUGGGUCCUGUCCACCUAAGCUUUCUCCGCGUGUGGCUGGCUGUUAACCACAAGGUCGAAGUUUCAACCAAUCUUCUAGGGGUGCGUUUCUUUUAUUUUUCCAUAAAAAAUGAGUUAUUCCAUUGAUGAAGCAUCAAAAAUACAAUCUAGUCUGUUGUGGGUGUUGUCUAACUUUACGAGUGAUAUGGACUCGCUUGUUGCGGUGACUUUUGUGGGCUUGAGUAUAGAUCAGUGGUGGCUGAGCAGGCCAUCCACUUUAUUUAAUGAAUACGCAAGAUUCUUUUUAAAUUAAGAAAUUGAUCAUUGGAGAUGAUGCACCCAUAUUAUUGUUUUGUUUCAUCAUCAAACUAGGAAAAGAAAAAGGAUAGGGAAGAUCACAGAAUUGAACUUUUUACUUGCCACAUCAAAUAGUGAAUCAUUGUAGUCUAAAACUGUCUAAGUGGUCUAGUGGUUGGAGACGAAUUUUAGACACAUAUUCUACACGGCAUAUGUCCUGGGUUCGAUUCUUGGAGCUGGGUGAAUCACAAGAUGGUGGCCAGGGGAGACUAAAAUGCUUAUAUAAGUCUUCUUGGCCCCCGAAAGAGUAGAAUAUUGUGACAAAGCCACCGGCUAGUCAUCUUUUUAAAAAAUGAAAUAAAACUAUCGUUUCUCUAACAUUUUUCUAUUAUAAAAUAAUAAACUUUUUUUUUUGAACCGGGUAAAAGUUUAAACUUAAUUUCAAAUUCGACUUUCAAUUUGCGUAACAUUGUUCUCCCUCUACGUACUUUGAAGGGAAUUUAUCGAAAGAUGACCAAAUUAAUCUACACCAUGUACUACUCUUGUAGCAAUAGUUCAAUCAUGGCCAUGUACUACUCCCCGGCAAUUGUUCAAUCAUGCCCCCCCCCCCCCGGCGCGGAAAUAGUUCAAUCAUGGCCAUGCACUACUCUUGUGGUCUUCAAUCAUGGCCAUGCACUAGUCUUGUGGUCUCCCCCCCUCCCUAUGACCCCAACUCAAUAACAAAAUAGGGUGUAAUUUCACCACAAGAGUAGAAAUUAUCCAGGGGAUGAUUUCGUUUUGCUUUGAUUUUGGGACUGAAGGUUUCAUUGCGAAAAAACCAUUGGAGGCAACUUAAUUUUUAUGUACAUUACACAUACGAAAACUUUUUACUUGCCACAUCAAAUAGUAAAUCAUUGUAGUCUAAAACUGUCUAGGUGGUUCAGUGGUUGGAGACGAAUUCUAGACACGUAUUCUACACGGCAUAUGUCCUGGGUUCGAUUCCUGGAGCUAGAUGAAUCACAAGAUGGUGGCCAGGGGAGACUAAAAUGCUUAUGUAAGUCUUCUCAGCCCCUGAAAGAGUAGAAUGUUGUGGCAAAGCCACCGGCUGGUCAUCUUUUAAAAAAAUGAAAUAAAACUAUCAUUUAUCUAACAUUUUUCUAUUAUAAAAUAAUUAACUUUUUUUUGAACCGGGUAAAAGCUUAAACUUAAUUUCAAAUUCGACUUUCAAUUUGCGUGACAUUGUUCUCCCUCUACGUACUUUGAAAGGAAUUCAUCGAAAGAUGGCCAAAUUAAUCUACACCAUGUACUAGUUCAAUUAUAGCCAUGUACUACUCUUGUGGCAAUAGUUCAAUCAUGGCCAUGUGCUACUCUUGUGGCCCCCCUCGGCCAAUAGUUCAAUCAUGUCCCCCCCCUCCCAGGCAAUUGAGGGUACAGGCGUACAGCUAGCACAAUGGUGUCCCACCUCCCUCCCUUAUAUUUCCCACCCUCCAUUUUUUUUAUGUAAUUAUUUUAAAUUGUUGAUUAAAUACUUUCUUUUUUUUGUCAAAUACUUUGUUUUCAAAGAUUAAUUGAUUUCUAAACAUAUAUUUGGCACCUUUAUUUUUCUUUAAAUGCACUACAAAUUCAUAUCAUCUUUGAAAAAUUUUCCUAAAGUACUACAGAUUUGUAUCAUUUGAACUUGUAUCUUAUACCAUCAAAUUCAUCAAAGUACUAACGAUAUAAUUUGUGUAUUCUUCUACUUCUAUUUUUGCAUUUUAUCAUUCUUUUAUUAUUCAUACAAUUAUAUUUUUUUUAGGUGUAAAUAGACAUUUAUUUACAAGAUAUAUAAUAAAUUUACAUAAAUCCGCUUGGGCCCCGCCUAGCCGCCUAGGCACUAGACCCCUACCCGCCGCCCGACUAGUGUCUAACGAUUUUUAGAACCUUGUUCUUAUCAAAAUGAUUUUUGAAAUUAAAAAUCCAUCAAUUUGAUCCCUAAAAAUGGACCGCAAAUCAAUUCAAUCAUUUUGUUACAUUUUCAUUAAAUUCUCUGUUAAUAUGCUUAUGUGGCAAAUGAGUGAGUCACAUGGAUACAAUCAUAUGGUGCCACGUGGAUUAAUCAUAAAACCAAUUUUUGUACCUUAUAAGGUGGGGAUCCUACUUUUAACUCUAAAGUUAAUAUGCGCAAGUCAUGAGCACCCUGCUUUUUAAUGUUAUAUAGAAUUGUCUGUAACUAUUGAGCCCAAAGCUAAACAUGACUUUGCAUUUGACUCCAAAGUACUGAACAACUCAUAUAAGCACUAAGUCUCGAAUAUCCCUAAUCAUGAGAUGUAUAAUAUUUGUCACAAUAAAUUGAGUGAGACCUAUUUAAGAUUAAUAUUUUGUUAGUGAAUGCAAAGCCUGUUAUAAAUCUUAAUUAAGUGAUCUCUCUUUUUUUUCGGUAGAUUAAUAUAAAAUAUCGUUUGUAAUACUUUGUGUAAUAAUCAAUAAAAAAAAUGGCGUAAUUUAAAGGCUUGCACAUAUAUAUGAUGGACUUGGAUUGUCUGCCUUCCCCCAUCUCAUCCCCUCCUAUUUUUAUGGUUACGGUUAAGCCACGUCAACAUUUUAUAUUGAUUUUUUUAUAUAGAAUUAAUAAGACAAAAAGCAAUAGAAAUAUAAAAUGUUGACGUGGCUUAACCGUGACCACAUAAAUAGGAGGGUAUGGGAUGGGGAGGGCAGACAAUCCAUGUCCCUUUUUAUUGACCUCUAAAGUACUCAAGUACAAGAAACAAAAAUACCCAACAAAAAUAUAGAGUUUCCGUAGGGAAAACAAUCUAGCCUUCUGUACAAUGGUGCAGCAAAAGAUAGUUAUGAAGGUGCACUUGAGCUCUGAAAAACUCAGAACCAAGGCCUUGAAGAUUGCUGCAGUCGCUAAAGGUAUGCAAAAUAUAUGCACCGAUCUUUAAACUUAUGGCCAUCCUCAUCCACCAUCUAAAGGGAUCUUUUAGUCCAUAAAAUAUCUAAAAGCCAUCUCCAGCAAGCAGGUUAUAAGUAGGUGCACUUGAGCUCUGAAAAAACAUGUGUUGUUCUUGUUUCAGCAGCUAAUCUUUCAAGCACUAAUGUAUGGAUUAAUGUAUAAUAUUUGAGAUCCUAUUUGUUUUUUAUUGACUGAUGCUUCAACAUCAUCCACCUAAUUCAUAUCACACAUCCAUAAAUACCUGAGAACGCUUAUUCCUACCACCAUUACGUUGUCACUUUCGUAUGUUUUUUCAUUGAGAAGAAAAUGAAAGAGCAUCACGAAAAACACUAACAAUUUCAACUCUAAAACGUCACCUUAUUCCUAUAACCCACCUCAAUCAACAACAAAGGAAGAAAAAUAAUUGAUCCCUUCAAAGAUGCUUUCGUGAAAGCUAAAAGAUGUCCUACCCAUCCAAAUGAAAACGGGAUGUUAUUUUCAGUCCCAUGUGAUAUCGGCACAGUGGAGGGCAAAAAGAAGAAAUAAAUGUUAGAAAGACAGCUACAUCACAACCCAAAGAUUAAUUAAAGAAAAAAUAUCCAAAAUGUAUGUCAGAUAUUUUGAAAUUAUAAAUACAAAUCCAAAAACAAAAAAAUAACAAACAAGAAAAAGUCUUGAACAAUUGGCUAUAUGGGAUAAAUUUAAUAUGUUACUAUAAUUCUCAUCCUCUUAUGAAUAUCAUCAGCAAACUCAUAUUUUUCACUCUUACGUAGAAUACCAUAAACCUCCUUUAGCACGCCCUCAGGGUCCUCUAUCUUUAUGGGUCUCUUAGAAUCAGAGUCUUCCAGCACAGCAAAGACCUAGGAAAGAAAUUAUAAUUUGAACACUAUCAAGUUAAGCACGUUUGCAAUCAUACAGGUCAGAUUUCUUUUUUAAAAUAAUCAUUUCAAAAUGCCUUUCUUCAAGGAGAGACAAUUACAAAGAGAGAAAGAAUAAUACCUGUUUUUUAUUAAGACGGUAGCAAAAUUCGUUAUAGAGUCGUCCUCCAAGCUUUUCAUCUUUUAUAUCAACAAACACUAAAACUGGGCAGCUUGGUACAUCAACAGAAGGUUUACCAUCCAAAUCAUGUUUGAGCAAUUCAUCAUGUAUAUACAUCUCCUUCAAGAGAGGGACCUACAAUUUGAUCCGCAGUAUUCGUAUUGCAUGUAAAACUAAUUUUGGGGAACCAAAUCUUGGCAAAUAUAAGAAUCACCCUAUUUAGUUCACUUCUUCAUAAGGGGUAAUCUUAUAUAAAAGAACUUGAAACAAAUUCAAGGUACAGCAGCAUCAAAUACUCAGCAUUAGUCUACUCCACGAAAUUCAAUAUUAUAUGUAUAUAUACAAAACCCAUCAACGAAAAAGAGGGGUUUAGAAGAAUACUCAAUCUCACGAAUCUGCUCCUCAGCUUCACAGACGCGUAGAUGCCUUCAAAAUAGAGACCCAAAUCCUAGACUCAGAGAGAGAGAGAGAGAGAGAGAGAAAUAUUUAGAAAUUUUUAGACAACAACUCUCACAGAAAGACAACAAUGUUUUGGGACGACGACCCUCACAAAAAGAGAACAUCGUUUGACGGCGAGAGAGCACAAAGCAAAACGAAAACGAAAGUUAAAACAAAGGAAGAUGCAGUCAAACGAAGCGGGAAGCAACAGAGCAAAUUUCUGAGAGAACACGAACCCAUCACUGAUAUUAAAAUUAUUUUUGGGUAAAUUGGGUACGAGUGAGGGUACUGACCUUCUCCGGGCAUCUCGUGUUUGAAAUUGGAAGAGUUUAAGAUGCGAUUUUGGUGGAAAAUGGGCAGCGCUCACUAGAAGAAAAAAAGCUCAUCCAUCACGGUGAAUGCUCGUAAUAAAUUGUAAUCCACCACGGGUACUGUGCCCGUUAGUAAUCUGGAUGUGAUAAAAAGUCUUAGUUUCUACCACAGGUUAUGCCCGUUGUCAAACAUAAUGUAACCACGGAUUGUGCCCGUGAUAGAUUGGAAUUUAACAUCACGUGUUACGACCGUUGUGAAUUAUUUAUUGACCACGGUUAAUGACCGUUAUAAAAAAAUUUCCACAAAUAAAAAAAAUAUCUAUUUAAUAAAUAUAUAUUUAAAUAUUUAUAUACUAAAUAACCAACAAAAUUUCAUAUUUAUUACAAUAUAAUAAAUUACAGAAUAACCAAAACCGAAAAGGAAAUCAAUAUGAUAAUUAGGAAAAUUUAUACUAUUUAUUAACAUAAGGUUCUUUGUCAACCAAAAUUGCAGAAAAUUGUGGUAAGAAUCACUUCACUUCAAUUCAAAUAGAUUAUGAUUAAGAAUAAAUAUGUAAAACACAAAAUAAAAUAAAUGAAAUGUAAAAGGAGGGAAACCGCACGUCUCCCUUCUUCUCCCCCUUUUCUCUCUGCCUUUAUCUCCAAAUACAUAACUGCUCCACGUUUUCCUCGUCACAAUAAUGUCUCUUUUCCUGAACUCACGUAUUUUGCAACCCAAACUGCUUCCAUACUUUAUAAUGUUUAAUUCCUUUUCGAACUCUACUGAAGUAAGAAUUAAUCUGCAAGUUUCAGUUUGUAAGACAUAAAAAGUCCACCCAUUGAUGCACUUAAGUGGCUAACAUUUCAUGUAAAAUUUAGAUAACCCUAUAUUUGUUAUUUGGUAUAACUUAUGAUAUAUUGGAUCGAUGCAUGCAUACCGCCAUGGUGAUCCUUGAUUGCAGCACAAGGAAGACACAUACCUAGCACAAAGGAGGAGGCAAGCAUGCCGCCAUGGCGACCUCUGAUUGCAGGUCGGCUUCUCCAGUCAAUAGAGCCUUCCCAUUUAGUGAUGAGAUUCUGUUCUUGCCCCUACAGUAACCAUUACCAAAACUCAUGAGGUUUAGGAAAAACCAGGCAUGAGAGGAAAUAAAGUGUAAGGGAUGAAAGAAAAAAAAAGGAUAAAGAAAGAAAGAGGAAACCACCAUUUUCUAUCUUGUGAGCCUUUUUUUUUCCCAUUUGGCGAUUCAAUUUAAUUUGGAUCGGAUCCCUGGUGCCAUAGGAUUUUGAUUAGAAAUAAAAAGGAGCGACUGGAGAUUUAAAGAGUUUGUGAAAUUUUCAAAUCUCAAAGAUGUUUGAAAUUUCCCAAAAAUUCGGUGUCUCGCCUUUUCUAAAUAUUUUUCAUUAUGUGUAUGAUUAUACCACACAUUAUGUCCGUGGUUGAUAACAAAAAUGCGCUGUAGAACUAACAAUAUUGACCACGAGCAUUGUCCGUGGUGGCUUAGUAUAUUUACAACGUGCAACUUUGCGUGUGGUCAUUCACCGUUAUUUUACAACGGGCUAAGAUUUGUCUGUGAUGAAAAAUUAAUUUUUAUAACGUGCGUAUUAUGCCCGUGGUAAAAUUUUAUUUUUACAACGAGCUCAUAAAGUCCGUGGUAAAAUUGUCGUGAUAGAUGUGUUGUUUUCUUGUAGUGGCUGCAGAGAGAACAAAGCAAGUCCAUGUUUCUAUGGUAUCAAAAUUGCAGAAAUCAAACAAUGUAGAUGAGGAUUUUGAAGAUUCUGAAUCUAAGAGAAGAGAAAUUUACCUUUGGGGAAGAGUGGUGGCCGCUGCUGCUGAAACUGAAAAGAUUUUGGCAAAUAAGGCGAGAAGGAAGACAGUGGGAGUCGGCAACUCAGAAUUUCAGCCAAACAUAAAGAGAAUAUGAAGAAAGAAAUAGUUUUGUAAGAUGCUGAGAAGAAAAACAGGGAACAAUAGGGUUUUACCUGAGGACUCGAGCUGGGCUCUAAGACGUAGACCUCCCUCUCCCUUCUUCUCCCUGACAUUCCACACCCUCCCCCCUUCUCUGUCUGUAACUAAUACAGCCCAAACAAAAUGUAAUGUUUACAUGUAUAUCGCUAUUUGUAACGUUUAAAUAAAUACACAAUCAAACGUUUAAAUAAAUGGUUGCAAAUGAUCCGACUGUUAAAGAGUAAAUUCAUAAGAACUUACCAUGCACUUGAGCAUUUUUCAACAUUCCAUUAAGCACAGACAAAAUGUAAUCUACACGUAGAUGAGACAAGACAUGUUUAGGUGUUAAGCCAAAUGCAAGAAGUCAGACAAGUGAAGAAAUAAGAACCUUGACAGCUCAUCAUUUCUUAUACUUUGGACUCAGCGUUGGAAAUUUGUCUACCAGGCAUAACAUCUGAAACAUUAUUUAUUCAUAUGAAUGUGAGAAUGAUUACUUUCAAUGGCAUUCCAUCUAGAAAUGUAAAGGGGUAAUUUAAUUCAUCUAUACUUCACCGUGUUCAUGACUUGCAAAUUUUCUAAACAACACAAUAAAUAACAGAGAUUAGGGAGAGUUGAAUCAAAGGAAUCAGUAGUGUAAAACUGACAACAUGCUUACAAAUUCAACUCCAGUUGUGCUGAUGUAGCUAUCCAAGUAUGAAUCAUCCUGUUCAACGAUUCCGAAGCACAGAAAAAAAUUGCAUGAGAAAAUUGAGAUCAUAUGCAAUUGUAUGUCAAAUAACCUGAAAUAUAACAUAUAUCCAAUAUUAAGUGCAUACACGUACAAACUAAUCUUUAUAUAUACUUUAAAAUAAUACAAAUCAAGGGAAUCUAAAACAUUGGAAACAUUAUCAUACAAUUAAAUAAUCACGAUGCAGAAAAUUUUAUUUGCAUUAUUUUCAGAUAACUUUUCACCCCACAACACUAAGACAGAAAGCAUACCCAAACCAAUAGUGGCGUUCCAACCACUGCGAUUUCACAAACUUCUCAAUGGAGGAAGAAAAACACAAAAUACACUACUUGAUCACUUGUGGUUGAGCUUUUAUCGCUCAACCUGUCUUUAUCUUUGUGUAGCUCUCUGACUGAAACAUUAUUCAUAUAAAAUUUCAUUACAGUAUAAAGUAUACUUAUAUAUAUAUAUAUAUAUAUAUAUAUAACAUAAUAACCUUCUAAAAGCAAUAUCUUUUAAAAAACAUUCCAUCAAUUGAACAUUACCUCCCUGACACACCCCGUCCCGAAGGAGGGCGUGUUGGCCGUCACGUGAGAGUGACGUAACCAUUUACACAGUUCGGAAGCUCUUAAAAUACAAUUACUAAAUGGAAACCCUCGAGGGUGAGUCCUACUUUUGUGAAUUCUGUCAUAACGUCGUUGGGUUCCUCGUGGCCACCAAAGCUCUGCUAACUUAAACUUGGAGGGGCGAAAAACAAAAUUGAGUGGGUCAGUAAAACAAAGUUUUUCAAAAAUCUUUCGCCAAAAACAAUUCUAACCCCUCACCGUAAAACCUGUAUACUUUCCCAGAAAAAUAGUAUAUAAACAUAUAUAUAUACGCAACAUCAAGACUCGGCUCAUGUCCAUCAUCAUAACAUCUCAGAAAUGAUAUGCCAUGCCCAAAUAUAAUCAGAAUGCAUCAAUGACAAUAAGGUGAAAUAAUAAAUCAACCAGAGACUCUACAAUGGUCAUGUACGGCUGAUUCUAAGGCUCAACAUCCAAUCUAACCGGAGUCACCUCGGUGACCUGUACGGUUCAACUCUGCACGUCACUCGGAACUACAUAUAGUAGUCUGUACGAUGACAGGUGUAUGAAUACGCUCUAAUGCUUCUCUCAUCAAUCAUUGACGCGCAUAACUAAGGUCACCUACUAGUUGGAAUCACAUCUAGUGAUCUGUACAACUAGCAUGUCGGAACCCUCACAUGGUCUGUACGACAUCCACCUACUUGGAUCCAAGACGAGCGUGCGGUGUGGUGAAUAACAAUAUAAGCACUAUCACCUAGGUGCAGGUUAUGAACUUUCAAUGCAAUUCAUAUAAAUAACUCAGCUGAAUAAUAAAUAAACUCACAUGAGCGUCCACCGCGUCAAUUCACAUAUAUAUGCAUCAAUAAUCAAACUAAAUAUCUCAAUAAUUUUAUGCAUGGCAAAUAAAUUCAUAACUUUCAUAAAAACGUAUUUUCUGGGAAAAAUAACUGUAUAUAGGUAAUACGAAAUCAAAAUUGCCCACUCACCUGGAGUUCGUCCAACAACUCCCUAGCACCACACAUCAAGGCGUCAUGACGAUCGCCGCCUAGAACAGUAAUCAAAUCCAACCUCAGAAUUCAUAUCGAGAGAAUAUAUAACUUGUAUAAAAUACGUCACUACGUAGUUCGAUCCGGGAGAUCUGCAAUUCCGAUUUUAAAUCCAUAACUUCCAGAGGUCCACAAUAUACCUCUAGGACAACAUCCUAAAAUUUCAUUACCAUCCAACGGUCGGAUCUCCGUCAAUUUCCAAAACCAAGUGACGGUUAACAUUCUAUAUUAUGGACUUACAACUCCAAUUCCGGAAGAUCCGCAAAUCGGAUUCCCAAUCCGUAAAUUCCUAUAAUCCUCAAAUAUUACGUAUUACAACGCAUCAAAGUUUGGUGACAAUCCAACGGUCGGAUCGUCAAUUCACCUUUUCACCUAAAUGCGAAACUAUAAAACGUUAUUUAAAGCACCUAACCAACAAUCCUUAAUAACUUCUCAUAUGGUGCUCAAUUUGGGUAUAUGAAUAUACCACAUUGACCUACUCGACGUCACGGACGUCGACAAAUUUUUAAAAUAAUUUUUUGAUGUGGCACGCGCCCCCACGCGCUAUGGAAAGCACGGGUCCACGUGCGCCCACGCGCACCUUCUUCCUCGCGAGCUUGCCGAACUGGUUUUUCCGGUGGCCGGAAAAUUGGGGAAUUUUCAAAUGCUUCGUUCUCCUUCGUUUCUCAACCAUUUUCUUCGUAUAAUAUAUCAAUUUGAAGCCCUUAACAUGUAGAAUCACAAUAGACUAGUUUCAAGGUCCAAAAUCCACUAGAUUUUACCUGAGGAAGCACGAUAAUCCGACGUCCAAUUUUGAAAAACUCCUAUCUCGAUCCUCCGACGUCCAAAUUCUACCAACAAAGUACUACUAGACUCGUGUGGACUCCCUUAAGCUUCCUACAAGCUUGAAAUUUCCAAAAACACAAGUUUUAACGUUUGCAUGAAUAGUACCCCCAAAUCGGGUUUACUGUUUCAACGUGAAUACGAAGCUAUCCUUACCUGAAAAUGGUAUGGUUGAGUUCGUGGAGUCCUCACAAGCACGAUGGUGCCUUCAAAACCCUCGAUCCAUGAAGUUUCAGGGUUAUAUGGUGGUGGUCCGUACAUUCGAGAGUGAGGGAGAGAAAGGAAGAAUUGAGAAGGAGAGAAAGAUAGAGGGCACGUGGAAAGUGACAGGGUGUCCCGUGUGUGUGUGGUCCCUCAAAACCAUUCCAUCCCUAUUUCCUAACGACAUAAAAAUACAUACCAAAUUUUAAAUCAACCUUUAAUCCAAUUUAAUUAAUUUUCCAAAAACUUAGGAACCAUGAAAUGUUCAAACAUAUCACACACACGUACCUUAAUACUCGCUAAGGGUAAAUCCGUCAUUUCACAUUCCCGUCAAAUGUAUCUCCGGGACGGGCUGUGACAUCCUGUCUAAGAAAACUGAUGACAAUCGCAAGCUAAACUAUGAAAUACCAAAUUAAAUACAGAAUAAUCACAACCCCAAACCAAACAAAACCCCAAUCAAUUAAAAAAAACAAUCAGAGUUGGAAAAUCCUUUAUGCAGAAACGUGAAAAAGAACAAAUCAGAGAUGCACUUACACCACAAUUCAUGAUCAUUAUCCAAAAUUUGCAGAGCAAACAUACAAUCAAACAGAUACCUCUCUAUUUUUCAUCUCUCUCUCCCUGUUAUUUGUAUUGUGAUAAGGUUUAUGAUAAACAAUGAUUUUACCAAAAUUUAAUAAUAAAAAACAUCACAGUAGAAGUUUAACAUGAGAGAAAGAGUCAAUCUCUACCUUUGAUGUGUUGAUCCUACCAUCCCCUUGCAUGCUUGAUCUCUACAUAAAAAUAGAGUUUGGUUGGUGAGAAAAUGCAGAGAAAACGAACAAAAUUUAAUGUAAUUCAUAAUUUACCAGUAUUAAUAGAACCAAUAACUUAAUAACAGUUUUACAUCAUUAAUUAGUAGAAAACAAUACAUAAAUACAACCCAACAAAAUAAACAUACUGCAUUCAUUGCUGAAGCAGGGAGCCAACCUCCAUGCUGCUAUUGUGCAAAAUCCAGCAGAGGAAUCACUGCAGACUGUUUGUAGUUGGAUGGAUAAUGGGAUAGUAUCUCUUUCACCUAAAACUUAAAAAAAUGACACUUUUUAGAACUCAAAAAACAUAAAAAUAAUUUUGCAAGUGGCAAAUAAUGGAUAUAAUCAAUGCUCGUGGUUUGAUAGCUCAAUUCAAGAACUUAUAUAACAUCAUCAUCAUAUGAAUUAGUAGGAUCACUUUCUAAAAUUCAAUAAAUAACUUGGGGAAAUUUAAACCUUAUAGGACAAUCCAAUUCUAGUAACUCAACUUAGCAACGUGGUUGGAACGUUCAGCACCCCUUACACUCUAGUUAUGUAUAAAUUCAAAAUUGAGCAUGUUUGAAUUAAGGGUGCUAAGAAAAUCCUAAACCUUUUAUACACAUCUUUGCUUAAAUAUCGAGGCUUGUAAUGUUUGACAUAAAUAGUUCAGCCUAAAGCACACAUUGACAACCAAAUUACACAAUCUUUCUCCUUUUUUCAUCUUUUCACAACGACAUGUCUUUCGCCAAAGUUACUGCAUUGCAUUGCCAUUGAAUAAUAUCCUACAAACUAAUUAGGCAAAUGGGUCGCUGAAAUUCACUACAAAAAUGCUCCGCAAAAUUAUUAAUUCCAACAAAAUUGAUAGAACCGAGUGGAAGUUUGUAAGACCCAUUUGCAGGAAGGAAAUGGGUGCUUUGUAGAAAUUGAAAAGAUGGAAAAUCGAUAGUUCAUGAUUUUGGUAGUCCAGAUUAGAUUAGCUUUAGACUCUACCAGUUUAUUGCAUGCCUGCCUUUUAUCCAUAAUUCAUGUCCUAAUUUAUCUGUUUAGGUUUUAGUUCUUGCCUUUGGGAAAACCCAAAAUCUCUACCUCAAACGCCCAUCUGCAACCACACUCCUUACACCCCCCCCCCCCGUCUCUUUCCCCAACCCCUGCUUCACUAAAUGACACACCCAUAACUCUCUCCCCACAGCCAAGGAGCAACCAAAUUCAACUCCAAUAUAAUAAAACUUAACAAAAUACCCAUUUUCACUCACUCCAAUCCUCUAAGAACCCAUAAUUUUUUUCAAUCAGAAAAAGUAAAAAUUAAGCAUUGACUUAAAUCCUGAUAAAAUGAGUAAGUAAUCAGCAACACUUGGUUCAAAAUUUUACAAAUUCACCAACAAUACACUUCAACACAUCCCCAAACAGCUCAGAAAUAGUGAAAUUUGAUUCGAUUCAAUUCAAUUCAACUCGAUUCGAUUCAAUUCAAUUAAUUUCAAUUCAAUUAGUUCAAUUCAACAAUUAUAAUCAUUAAUAUUAUAUUGGAACUAAAUUGAUUGAUAAGACACCUUUAAAAUCAUAAAUCUGAUAAGCAAUCUCACAAUUAACGCAGAUUAUGUUCAUAUCAAAAUCCAUACAGAGAUACAAAUUUGGAAAUAGAGUGUAAAUUCCAUCAAACACGAAGAUAGAGAGAGAGAUAGAGACUACCUGCUAUUGCUUGGCAACCUGAUCUCUUAGCUUCUUGAUUGCCUCCAUUGCAGCUCAGCUGUAGGUAGUCUCGAUUUUUCAAAGUUGUGCUUCAAGCCUUAAUCUAGACUCUAGAGGCUGAGUGAGUUUAUAAAAAAUAAUAAUUUAAUAAGAAAUUAACAUUGAAAAUAAAUCAAGAACCCAAAAAAAAAUGAAAAUUUCAUACCUCUAAGUUUAUGGGUUUAACUGUGGAAUCCAAUUGAGAACCACUAAAAAAAGGGAAAACUGACCAUAACACGUUAGACAAUGCAAGCAAAAAAGGGAUUUCAGUGGAAUUGAAAAGGCAGAAAUUAACAACCAAACCCAUUUAAUCAUACAACCAAAACCCAAUACCCAUUUAAUCAUACACCAAUGAAAAAUCUAAACACAGAGUCACAAAUUAACGAACUGAAAACCCACAAAAAGAACCAAAAAAGAAAAAAGAAAAAGGAAAUUGACCUUAAAACAAAGAACAAAACACAAAACAGAGAGAUGCAUCCCCAACAGUAUAGAAUCGAAUUAAAAAUUGAACUUAGCUCAAAAACACUUACCCUUCAACGUUUGGAGCCUCAGAAAAAUUUAUGAAGUUCACGCAAAUAUUUUUAGGUCUCAAUGCACCUAUCUUGCAAACCAACAAAAAUGAAAAUGCAUUAACACAAAUGCCAAAACCGAUUUCUAAGAUUUUAGUAUUCUCUUUACCCUUGCAACCGAAAAAAAAAAAACGCAGAAAAAUGAGCAAGAAGCUUAAGCAAAAAAAAAAUCAUAUUUUCAACCACCAAAACCCAAUACCCAUUUAACCUGAGAUUUCAGUGUUCUCUUUACCCUUGCAACUCAAAACAAAAAAUCCCAGGAAAAUGAGCAAGAAGCAUAAGCAGGAAAAAAAAACAUAUUUUCAACCACCAAAACCUAAUACCCAUUUAAUCAUACACGAACGAAAAUCUAAACACAGAGUCAUAGAUCAACGAACUGAAAACCCACCAAAAAAAAACCAAAAAAAAAAAAAAAAAAACUGACCUUAAAACAAAGAACAAUACACAUAACAGAUAGAUGCAUCCCCAAAAUGAGAGAAAAUAACAGAAAACGAAAUAAAUAAGGGAACCCCCAAAACCUGACCCAACAGUGCAACAAAUCCAGAAAUAAUUCACAGUAAAAAGGCUGAAAUGAUGACAGUCUAUACUAACAGUAAAGAAUCCAAUAACAAAAGGAACUUAGCUUUCUAAAUCCAGCCACUCAUCCGACACGCAAAAAGGAACAGACGAUCUAGAGUGAUUCAUGGACUGAGGGGCCUUACUCGGCUCUGUUUACCAUCCCAACCCCUCCCUCUCUGUUUCUCUCCCUAUUAUCCGGACAACCACUCUCUCUUUUUCUCUUUCUCUCGCGCGCUACUCGCUUAACUUCGGAAUUCCAACGGAACUGAAGCCAGUGAGCUCCCAAAAGCCCUCAUGCUAGCUAGGGAUGAGAAUAUACAUAUAAGGAUCAAUCCCCUGAGCGAUGUGGGAUCUUACAGCCUAGCCUUCACGUGAUCGUUCACCUCCCGCACCACACGCUUACCUUGGAUCCAAGGCAGGUGCCAGCCUGUCGUACAGACUACAUUAGGUGGUUCUGACUCGUAGGUGACUUGCGAUACUUCGCACAACCUUCACGUGAUCGUAGCACUUGAGCGUAUCUAUUUACAUCUAGCCUGUCGUACAGACCACAUUAGUUGGUUCUGACUCGUGUGCAUGAAUUGGUUAUGAGCUAUAGGUUCAGCCGUACAGGUCGCAUUAGGUGACUCCGACUGACAUUUCAUAUUAUAUGAUUCACAUCACCUGGCUUACAUAUUUAUUACUGAAAUACUUGACAUGGCACUCACUUUGGUUUUCAUUACUCUCAAGCCUGAUUUCUAUAUACUUAUGUAUUAUUAUUUUCUGGAAAAUUAUACGGGUUUUACGGUGAGGGAUUAUUAUUUUUGAAAAGAGAAAUAGUUUCAAAAAGCUUUGUUUUUGCCCACUCACGUUUUUUGUUUUCGCCCCUCUAGGUUUUAGCUGCUGAAGUUCGUAUCGACGAGGAUUCUUGGCGAAUCUCAGUAUAGGUGGCUACCUCUGAGGGUAUGAUCAUUACCCACACUACUGUACUUUACUUAUACUUUGACGUCACGUGUGAAAUGAAUCCAUUCCUGCUCACAUCUCACUCUUGUAUUUAGCUACUUUUAGGUUUAAAUUUAUUCACAUUUUUCACAUCACUACAUUUUAUGGCUUCGUCACCUUCCAGGUGUCGGCCAACACAACUCGAUUCGGAGUCCUAGUGGACAUACCGGGUCGGGGUGUGUCACCUACACUAUAAAAUUUAAUUUACCUAUUGUUUAAUUUUUAUAAAAUAAUGUAUCUACUAUACAAAAUAAUGUACCUACAAUAUAAUUUGCCUAAUGAUUAAUUUUUAUUAAUAUAGGUAAAUUAAUAUAUAUAUAUAUAUAUAUAUAUAUAUUUGUGUUUAUAGUAUUUAUGAUACAAGAAAGGUAUAUUUUCAUAUGGGUUUAAUUGGUGAUCAUAAUUAGGGUGAGUAAUUAUAUUCAUUGACAAGAUUAGAGCUUUGUGACAUAAGUUGUAAAUAUGUUGGAAUAAUUGGCUACAUAUUUGUCUACAUGGUAGUCUAUUCGAAAUUUGGGUGUUAUUUGAAUAUUUAAUAUUAGAUAGGAUUUUGUUUGGAAAAUAAAAGUUUCAAAGGUCUAUCUCUAAAAAACCCUAGAAAUUAUUAUAUUACUUUAGUCUAAAGUAGGAGGGAAAUUGGCACUAUUCAUGUGAAUAGUGUUUUGGACCACAUUUCAGUUUAUUUACAAUAUUGCCACUCGAAUGCUUUUACCCAUCUUUCUCUUUAUUUACAAAAAAAACCCCUCAGGCUUCAAGCCCGAUUUGUAGCCUUUGGGCUGCAUCUCAGGUUUGACUCGGGGAGAAAGAGGGGAUGGGGACAUAAGGGCUGACAAAUUGGAGAGAGGAGACAGCUGGUUGUGGCUGUGGCUGUGGCUGUGGCUGUGGCUGUGGCGAGAGGAGAGGAGGGGCACAGAGGGACGGACAGAUUGGAGAGAGAUGGGAGCUACGGGUGAUCUUGAUGCCGCGUGUUGAUAAUCGUGGAAAGGUCGGGGUGCGAUGGUCGCUUUAGUCUGUAGGGUUUCGAACGGAUUGGGUGGGUUAGGGAGACUUUCAUUUCCUUUCUUUCUGUGAUCUGCAGAGGGACUCGGUGAGACCAUGCCGUCAGGAGAGAGAGCAGGAGGGAGAGAGAGGGAUUUGGUGAGGGGAAGGCAUGCGGCUUGCAGAGAUGAGGAUGAGAAAGGGGGAGGGACAAAGGAAGAGAGAGAGAUAGGGAUUGGGUGAGGGGAAGGCAUACGGCUUGCAGGUAGACAGAGUCACAGGGGUGUACGAUUCAAGGGAGAGAGAGAGAGAGAGAGAGAGAGGAGAUUGAGUGGUGGCAUCACUCUUACUACCUGCACUCCUGAGGCCGGCUACCAGAGAGAAGGACACAUGAGAGGAGAGAAAGAAAGAAAGAGAGAGCGCGCAGAGGCAGGAAGGCCUGAGAUUGAGGACAAAGGCCAUGGUUGCACAGAAUGACUGAGAUUUGAAGCCCAUGACAGCCUCAGCUGAUUGAAAAGGUGAGGAGUCGUUUUCAAAUCUUUUGUGCUUUAGGAUUAGGUUUACAAACUCUAUUCAUAUCAUGCAGCUUCAGAUUCGAAAUUGUGAUUUUGGUCAGCAAACCCAGCUCCAAUCAUCUACAAAUCAAACCUCACGAAGUAAAGCACUCCGAUUCCGAUUCAUAUCAUGCUUCUGAUGGAUCUGGUUGUGGUCUCUGUGUAUUUGCGCAUCCAUAUAACUCUGAUUUGUCCAACAUGCUCAUGGAUUUUUUUGUAUGAUUUUGCAGGGCAAAUUACUAUAUUGCCUAUUUUCCUUUCAAAUCCAACGGGUCGAGGCAGGCUAGAGCUGGUAUAGAUUACAAAUAUUAGUUUUGCAUAGCACUGUAAUUUUGAUUGGUGAGAUCGGCCUCAUUAAAAAAAAAAAAAAAAAAAAAGAACAGCCAUCUUUCAAUUCAAUAGUAAAGGCCUUCAUUCAAAUAUGAGUUUUGCAUAGCACUAUAAACAUUAUAUGUAGUUACAGAAUUGCUGUUUUGAUUGGUAGCUCUAUUGAUUUUUGUUUAGUUGAUUUGAAUUUAUACCGAAUUUACUUAAUUUUUAGUACAAUUAUUUGCUUUCUGGUUUUUAAUUUAAAGACUAGGAGUUUGAAUGGUGUAGUGGAGGUUGAUGUUGUUUCCCACAUUUUUGUUAUGAAUUCUCAAUGUUUGAUGAAUUCGGGAAAUCAAUUUUGUUAUCUCUUAUGCAGUUAUGAUCGUAUGAGUUGGAAUUUAGAUUUCACACACAUGUAAACUGAAAAAAUAAAAUAGAUUUCGUAAUUCGAAGUUAGCCGACCCCACAUGAUGGGAAAAGGCUUAAGAAGAAGAAGUUAGCUCUAAACUAUAGAAGCAUGGAAGUUUAUGUGGACCUUAGAUUGUUUUGAAAAAUAAUUGAUUGAUUCAAGAAAGCAAAGACCUUGGAACCUUAACUGUCUCAUUGUAAUCCAUCACCAAGUUCUGGUAAUUUAUGUUCUAUUUUUUCAGUCAUCUGAAACUGAAUUGCAUUUGGGUGUUUGUCUUUGAUGCUAUUUUUUGGAUGUAGGUAACUAGAUUCUUAUUCUCUGGGAAUUGUAUUCGUUUGUUCAAUCUCAGUAUUUUACCAAUAUUCUCACGAUGUCCUUUGUUUUUAAUCUAUAAUUUAUUUUGUCCAAUUCAUGAAAAAGUUGAUGAAAAAGUUGCAGUUUCGGAAAUGACUGUCAGCAAUCAAGAUGUGAAAAAGAAGGUUCCUUUUUCUUAUUUUUGUUUCCAAGUUCUUCUUCUGGUCUAUUUUGUGGAUAAAAAAAAAGGAUCUUUCGGCAAACAGAAUGGUGUUUUUUUUAUCAGAUUUUGUUAAUUAAUUGGAUUUUGUGUUUACCCUUUCAUUUCAGUCUUUUAUUCAUAAAAUCUUCACCUCAAAGGAGAAAGAAGGAAGCGGCUCUUUGGAUUUCUCAGGUGAGUCUCUAAUGGUUGACUGCAACUGAAUAUCCUUCUUCCUUUCUUCUUUGUUUGAAACAGUGAUAACUCAGUCAACUAUGAGUAGAUGUAUAGUGGCCUGCUUCAGUGCUCACUUGGUAAAGUUUUUUGGUCACAUAAAGGUGCUAGAGUUGGGAACUUUUUGGAUCUUAAAUCAUUGGUUGCCUAACAUUCUCUAUAUUGAAAGGCAUCAUUUUUGUUACCACAUUUUAUAUAUUUUAGACAAUGAAUAUGAGUGCAGUGGACUCUGAGUCAGUGAACAGGGAGUUACUAAUUUUGUUAUAUGAGAUUUGGUUAAAUGUCUAAUACACAUGGUUGCUGAGGUUUGUUUACAUUGGUGGUAAAUUCUUGCUUUCUUUUCAAUUUUGUUUUAUUGUAAUUCGUCUUGGUUUAUGGAUCUUGCAUUGCUGACGUGAAAUGGUUAUAUUUCAAUGUUUGUGAGAUGUCGAAUUGUGUGUUUGUGGCUUAGUGAGAGUUAGAUUUAGAUUGUGUAGAAAAUGUGGGCUUCGGAGUGUAACCCAAUUAGCAAUUUGGAGUGAUUGAGGAGAAGUAUUCUGAGCUGCAGUAGGACUUGGUGAGACCAUGCCGUCAGGAGAGAGAGCGAGCGAGCAGAGAGAGAAGAGGGAGGGAGGGAGAGAGAUAGGGAUUUGGUGAGAGGAAGAGAAAGGAGGGAUGUGACUUUUGACUCGGGGAGAGAUAACUGUGCCUGUUGCUUCGGUCAGAGCAUUGUUGGGGGAGGAGGACAGAGGGACUGACAGAUUGGAGAGAGAUGGGAGCUAGGGGUUUUGACUCGGUGAGAUUGUGAGGGAGAGGGGGAUGGCAGAGACAGAUGAGAGGGAGCUGGGCGUGGGAAUUGCAGAGAGAGAAAGAGAACUCAGAAGAUAUUUGUUUUGUUGAGAGCUGACAAGAAAAGGGGAGAAACAACGGCAAAGUGACAGAAUUUGAGAAUCUGAAGAAAAAAAUGAUUAGUGGGGUUUUAGCUUGUGGCACUUUCUUCCCUGCUUUCUAAACACAUUUUUCUCAACACACCCCUUCAAGCUCUGGAAGUGUUUGCUCAAAUUGGAGCUCAAAAGCGUCAAAUUUUAUGGAACAAAUGGUCUCAAAGAAGCAGAUUACACUGCGCAGUAGCAGCGCAGGACGCGGUGGGCCUGGGUUUGGUAUUGUUCAUACCUCUGUUUCUUCAAUUUUUUUAAUUUCUUUUAUAUGCAAUUUCUGUGCAUGCUGCUGAAAUGAAUAUGGUGGUGGAAACUGUUGUUUUAUAUGAAUUGGGUUUUUCACUACAUUAAUAAAGAUCAAAUCUUUGUGGUUCUUUGUUGUUUAUCUCAACCUUGCUUUGCCCACAGCCGCUUGAAGAUGACGUGUUCCUGAUAGUCGGUCACUUCCGUGACAGUUCCGAACGAAGGAUUCGGCUCCCAAGCUCCGAUGAUUGUGUCUGGCAAAGAGAAUUCAGGAAGAGUGGAAGAUCCAAGAAGGAUUUGCCAGGCGAGUUCUUUUGUUUUUUAUUUUGAAUUUCCUUUUAAAUAACUGUUUUGAAUUAAUGGUAGUGAAGUUUUCUCAUACUUAGCCUAUUCAUUUUUAUCAAAUAUUUUGCACUGACUAUUUCAUGAUGCUGACUGAUGUAAUUAAUUUGGUUUUGUACUGAAAGUUGGAGUUGAGAAUAUAUGGAAUAUAGUUGUUGGAUUGGUGUUUGUACUAUAGAAACUUAGGUGUGCUCACCCCCUUUUCAUGGACAUCCAUAGCUUAUGAGACGCUGUUCAAGUCGGACCACUGGUGAAUGCCUAAACUGUUGUGCUUAAAUAGAUUCAUCAACUCAAUAUUGUCGUUAAUUUUUGUUUUGAGUCCAUUUUCCCUGCUGCUGUUCUAUUAGGAUUAUAAGCUCAGUCGUUCAGGCAUGACACAUUUUCAGUGGGAAGUCAUAAGCAUAAUUCAUUUUUUUUUAGAUUAGACUCAAGAUUUUUAUUUGCAUUAUUCUUCCGUUUUACAAAUAUAAUUGGCUGCCUUAAUGAUUGUUGAUGAAUCAUCACGAAAGUCCAUUUCUCUUUUAAUCAUUGACUAUUUUUUUUCUUCUUCAUUGGCAGUCGAGGCAAAAGGUUCUUGCGAUUUCAAUCAAAUGCAAACUGUGCAAGUAUAUAUGUUGUAUGCACACAUGCAUAUAAACUAAUAUAAUAUAUAUACAUGAUUUCAUGUGUUAAAGAGUGUACUUGUUCUUAAAUAAAGGUUCUGCUGACAAAUGUGUUUAACAAUAUGAUCUUACAACUCAUCUUUAAACUUUGUAUAACUGAAAUAUUAUUCAUCAAUUGUAACUUCCCCUGUUGCUAUUUGCUAAUGACACAAGCUAUGAAGAUUGUACUCAUUCUGUUCGUAGAUGCAAGGCUAGAAAUUAGGUUUGUAUGGGGUUAAAUCAAUUGAUGCUAUAGUAUUUGUUAAAAUUGUAAGAUUUGGUGGUUUGGUAAAUUGAUUAUAGUAAUGUUGUUUGUGGUUUGGGUUCUCCUUUUGUUUUGGAUAGAUGAUGCUUGAUUGUGGUUUAAGUUUUUAUUAUUAUUAUAUUCCCUGCACAUUGCAAAAUUCUGGUACUAUUUGAGGAUUUUGGUGUUGAAAGUCUAGGGUUUAGUGGAAUGAAAAGAAGGGAUGUAUGCGUUUCGGAAAUGUGUUUUUAAGGUACCUUUAACUCCUAACUGCCAUUUAGCAUUCAAUAUAUACUCUAUUGCUGGCUGGGGUUUACCCUUUUGAGCAUUUUAUUACGUUUCUUCUUGCUCUCUGACUGAAAAUUUUAAAUGCUAUAGGUGAAUGCAAACAGUGCAAAACGCGGUCUGAAAAAUGGACGAAAGCGAGCAUUUCGACUUGCUGCUGCAAUACACAGGUGUGUUGAAAACUUUCCCAAAUCCUUUGUGCUUACACAAUUAUACAUGUGUGUAUGUACAGCUUUAUACAUGCAUCUGUGGAAAUACAUACGUUAGAGCCUGGUUUUUGUUUUAGAUUUAUAUGCUAGUUGUUAGGUUCUAGCUAUGUGAAGUUUAUGUCUUUAAUUUAUUUUUUUAUGGAAGUAGCUCAUGUUUGCUUACCCGGCGGUGGUUAUUCUGAUUUAGUGGUUAAAAAUGGAAAUUUCACUCGCAGUAAGGGAUUAAUUGAGGUUCAUGCAUGCAUCCGUGGUGUAAAUUUGAGAGAUGGAAUAAUAUAUGUGUGUAAAGUCCCUUCUUUUGGUUUUUUAUUGCACUGUUUAGGUGGUGAAUUGCACGGAAAAUGGGGGAAGAGAGGGGUACAAUUGAUUUAAUUUGAGCAAAACAAUGGCAUUUAAGCUUAGUUAGUUAGUGAUUAUUAGAGUCAAUAAGGCGCCAUUUGUCUUUAACUGAAAUAUGAAUUUAUUGAAUGAUGAAUGAGGUUGUAGUGUGAGAGAAAUUGAGAAAGUAAAGAAAAGAUGGAAGAUGAAGCUACAAAUAUGUGACAAACAAUAAUGAUAGAUCAAUUCAUCUAUGUUGGUUUAUUAAACUUGGUCAAGCAAGCGUUUUGUUUUAAUUGGGAUAUAGUUUGGUACUUUCAUACUAAUUUCCAUAGUUUAUAAUAGUUAACCAACCAAAGGUGCUUUCUUUUCAUUAUUUUCCAAUAUAUUUUAGCCAGCUGACAAUCUUAAAAGAUUUACUUAGACGCAAAACAAAUCCGUGUAUUAUACACAUACCUGAGAUUUAUGGGGCCAUAUUUGCGCCUUCUUCCGGCAUCGUUUAUUGGUAAGUUGUAAAACCUUUGUAGAUCUCAUGUUCAUUUCAGAUUUUUGUAUCAAUUUUUGUAUCAUAAUGGAAUUGCAAAUCAAGUAUAUCUUGGAUUCUUACUUGCAUACUCACUUUUCCACAACUAUUAUAUUGUCUCUUGACUGGAUGAAUUUUCAUAAUUUCCUGGAUCUACGGUUACAAUGCUUUUUAUAAUUUCCUAGCUCUAUCCUUUUUGUUUGUGCAUGAUUAUGUUGAUUUUUUUUAAGGUUAAAUGUGUCUUAUUCAUGUAGUUAAGGUUUGUGCAUUCAAGUUCCGCAGCAAUGCGCGGGCAUUUUUUCUAGUAUUAGCUAAUGCAGAUUGGAUGAAACUCUGGAAGUUGACUAUAUAUUAGUAUGCGUUCAAAUUCUGGAUAUCAAAAUAUAAUUGUCUCCAGUAAUACUAAAUUUCGUUAUCGUUAUGGUGUAUAGAUCAAGUGGAUUAAUUAUAGCUACGUGGGGUGCUUCAGAGUGUACGGCAUGUGGAUAACUUUUCAGUGGUCGAAUAGUGUUCUUCAAAAUGUUUUGAUUAAUUUUCUUGAAGUUCAGUUGCUAGCUAGUAUAUGUAUAUUUUUUUAAGGGAUGAUAGUGUUCUCAUUCCCUUAAUCUUAUUAAAAUAAAAACAGAAAUACAAACAAGGGUGUGGAUCCAAAUUUCUGCCUUUUUUUUCUUGGACGAAAAUGCACCUGCAAAACAAUUAACACUUUAGGUUAAGGUCAAGAGCGUCACGCGCCCAUGAUGAAUGGGGGACCUUUGGCCGAAGAACUUCCGAUGUCAAAGUUAGAAUUUGAGGGAGAAAGUAUUUGGAGAAAUCUGGAGAAUUUCAAAAGAGAAUUAGAUUCAGGUUGUUUGAGAAAAUGAGGGGCUAUAUAUGGAGGUGUGGCCGACCCUAUUAGGAAAUUUGGGACCGGUCACAUAUGGUUGAUGUGUGGGAUUGAUUGCAAGAUAUUAUGUGAGAUAAUAUCUUACAAUUAAUUUGGUAAUUAAUCAAUUAAUCCCAAUUUGAAAAGAAUAAUUGGGAGUUAUCUUGUGGGUGAGAAUUUGAUGAGGAGUGAUGAGAGAGUUUUAAAAGAAUACCAUUUUGAUCACCUUUGACCUUGAUUGAGUUAUUGUUUGUUACAUGUGUGGGAAUCUUGAUGUGUUUUAAGGGUAAUUUUGUCUUUUUAACUCAAAAGUCUAUGUGUCGCCUUUAUAUUUUUCUUGAUUAUUUUUUGUUCCAAGGCAAUACAAAGCCAAACCUCCUUGAGGAAAAAAAAGGUAAAACCAAAAAUCAACCCCACAUACAAAGAAAACAUAUAAUGAAAUCAUUUGAAACGAUGGUUGGUAAAAGCAGAAAGAGCAAAAGUUUCACAUGAAAGAACGUUCACCAUCAGUAAUGUGCAUCAUGAUUUGCACGAAAGUUAGUUAAGGCAUCAGCCAUACAUGCAGUUGCUAGCUAGUACAGUAGUAGCUAUACCACUCAACUUUUAUUUUAUGUUUUUAUUAAUUAUUAGGUGUACCAACAGUUAUAUGAAUUUGAAACAUUUGUCAACUUUAAGACAAAGUAUUUGAAGUUAAUGAAGAAUUUGGUAUAAAACCGAGUACAGUGAUGUUCUAAGAUUUAUACAGUUAAUAAAAUUUUAUUGUUGUUUGUAGUAAGAAAAAGAGUAUUAUUAAAUCAAGUGCUUGUUUAAUAGUAAAAAUAUUAGAGACUACUGAAAAAACAAAAGGAGUAUAUACACUUGUCUUGUCACUGUCAUAUUCACUUAUCUUGUCACUGUCGUAUUCUUGUCGAGUUCAUGUGCGAUAUUAAUUUAUAAGUACUACAUUGUUGUAACUAAUUUCACCAUAGUGGAAAACCUAACCUACUCAGUUCACUCUUGUUGGGCUUUUUGGCUCAAAAUUAAGAUGAUGUAAUAAAUUAGGUUUGUGUUACCUAUUUGGUUUUGGUGUCCUAUUUGGGUUUGGAUUUUGACUUCUUAGUUGGUUUCCUUGAUGGAGAGAUUUUGUUAAUUACCUAUUUGAUUAGGAUUUUUGGGAGCAGCCUCUCCAUAAAUGGGGGUAAGGCUAGCCGACAUUCACCUCUUCCAGACCCUGCGUAAAGCGGGAGCCUUGUGCACUGGGUACGACCUAUUUGAUUAGGAUUUGGAUUUACUUCCUAUUAGGAUUCUUAUUGUAACCUAAGUCCUAUGCACUAUAAAAAGGACAUUAGGGUUAAUGUAUUUUGUGUGGCUCAUUCGUAUGGCAAUUUGGUGAGAGUCAAUUUGUGAAUUUGUGAGUUAGAGAGCAAUUUGGGAGAAUCUUCUCUGUUAGGUUUGGGUUAUCUACUUGUUUGGUUUAGGGUUUCUAAUUUGUGGGAUUUGGGUUGUGAGAGUUCAAACACUCUUUUGUAAUCUCCGUUUGUUUAGUGAAAUUCCUCGCCGUGAUUCGUCCGUGGAGUAGGCUUUAUGUCGAACCACGUAAAUCUCUUGUGUCAGUUUGAGAUUGUUUGUUUUAGCUUUCACCUACGACAUUGAUAUUUGGUACUUUGUUAUAAUUCGCUUCCUUUUGCCCAUAAAAGUACAACAACUCUCUCUUCAGAUCUGACUUUUCUUAUAAAUAAUAAAUAAAAAAGAAAACUAAUAAAAAAAAAGCUUGAAAAUUUUGAGUUUUAACGAUAAAGACAAAAUAAAGGAUAAAAUGAAUAGUACUAGGAUUAACUUGUUAAUGUAAAAAAUAUGGUUUUUCGUUAAAAUGAACGGGAACUUUUUGUUAAAAAAAAAAGAGAAGAAAGGUACGAUCUCAUGUAAUUGGUACAGGGUAGGCAUGCAUGGACCUGUAAUACAAGUCAAGAAAAAUAUUAAAGGGGAUCCUAUCCUCUAUAAGAGCAUGGUGCUGUUUCAUUGGGUUUCUAUCCCAAAAACUUAAAACUUCUAUAUUUCACACAAUAUUCUCUCCAAAAUGCCGCCGGUAAGCCUUUUCAUAUAUAUAUAUAUAUAUAUAUAUAUAUGUAUGUUCUACUACUCUUGCAUCUUGUAGCAGUUGUAUACAUUUUUCUUUUAAUCCAACUGAAACUAAUUAUUAAGGCGAGAAGGUUUUCUUAAAUUAGCUGACAUUAAUUAAAUGUAUAAAUUGAUCAUAUUGUGUAUACAUCUUUUGUACAAAUUGAUGGUGCAGCAAAUGAAGAUCGUUGUGAAGGUGCCAAUGCACUGUGACAAAUGCAGAACCAAGGCCUUGAAGAUUGCAGCUGCUGCACACGGUAUGUGCCUUUUGAUAUUAUCAUGAUUCAAAUUUUCUUUCAACGAUUUCAUUGUUAAUUAUAGUUGGCAUGGUUAUUAAAGAGUAUCAUAAUUAAUGAAAGCAGGUGUUAGUAAAGUGUCGAUAGACAAAGAUCUUGUGGAGGUGAUCGGGGAUGAUGUAGACCCGUUCUGCUUGAUGAAGUCAUUGAGGAAAAGGUUCGGCUGUUGCUGCGCCCUAGUCAAAGUUGAAGAAGUAAAGCCGCCACCUCGUCCACCUCGUCCACCUCCUCCACCUCCUCCAGCAAGCUGUGUUCAAAACUGUUGCACUUGCACUCCCCAUUGUCGUUCAAUGUACUGUGUUCAAUACUGUUGCACUCCUCAGUUUCGUCCAAUGUACUGUGAACUGGUUCAU